rnacentral:rRNA from 1 species
GACGAACGCUGGCGGCGUGCUUAACACAUGCAAGUCGAACGCUGAAGCUCAGCUUUUGUUGGGUGGAUGAGUGGCGAACGGGUGAGUAACACGUGAGUAACCUGCCUCCUUCUUUGGGAUAACGCCCGGAAACGGGUGCUAAUACUGGAUAUUCACUGGUCUUCGCAUGGGGGUUGGUGGAAAGGGUUUUUCUGGUGGGGGAUGGGCUCGCGGCCUAUCAGCUUGUUGGUGGGGUGAUGGCCUACCAAGGCUUUGACGGGUAGCCGGCCUGAGAGGGUGACCGGGCACGUUGGGACUGAGAUACGGCCCAGACUCCUACGGGAGGCAGCAGUGGGGAAUAUUGCACAAUGGGCGCAAGCCUGAUGCAGCGACGCCGCGUGAGGGAUGGAGGCCUUCGGGUUGUGAACCUCUUUCGCUCAUGGUCAAGCCGCAACAAUGGUUGUGGUGAGGGUAGUGGGUAAAGAAGCGCCGGCUAACUACGUG